GUCCCUAACAAGGUUGUCCUUCACUAGCUUCUCCAUUUCUCACCAUACUCCUUCCAUGUCGAAGUCCGAUAUGUCACCUGGCCUUGGAGGCUUUUGUGCGCCAUCUCUCAGGCGAAAUGGCCAAUGGAUCUGUAUCAUGUCGAGGUAGUCGAGUUGCAGCUCUUGGAGGGUGUUGUUCAACGCAUUUCUAACUCUUUCAGGGGCUAGAUCUGUGCACCUGUACAAUCACCACCCAUUUGCAAGAGGACAUUCACAAGAUAAUAAAAAUAAAGAAAGGAACAAUGGUUAAUUUCAUGCAACAGUUCUGAUGUAUAAAUGGUAAAACUACAGAGCAUUAUUUAGGAUAGAAUCGAUCAUCCCAUUCCUAGAACAAAGCUAAAGAUGAAAUAUGCCAUCAUAUUGUUAGAUAACAUGUUCAUUUUGGUGCUCCACCAUGCCCUUUUGUAAAAACUCUUCUAUUAAAACGGUUUGAGUCAUUUGCCCCCUAACAUGGCAUUUUUCCAAAUCUCUUCUGCCUUCUACAUGGCAUCAGAGCUAUGAUUUCCCCACUAGUUCUCUCUAAUGGCGAAGCCUACAUGUUGCAAUAUGGGAUCUACUAUUUCACCCAGGACACAUUAGUGGCUUAGAUCCUGGUUAUCGGAUUGCACAUCAAAUUUUUUUUUGGUUGGGUCCAAUACUCAAAUGGUUUUAGAUGUUUUUCCAAAUGUUUUAAAACGCUAUAUAUUUAUUUAUUUUUUAUCACCGUUGAAAAUGUUUUUGAACUUGAUAGAUAUCUGAUUAUUAAGGUUUAAAGGUCAUUCUCUUAGCCUUGCAUGGAUUUAUGCGCCAAGGAUGGUAUGAUUAUAGGCU